GAUGAACGCUGGCGGCGUGCCUAAUACAUGCAAGUAGAACGCUGAAGCUUGGUGCUUGCACCGAGCGGAUGAGUUGCGAACGGGUGAGUAACGCGUAGGUAACCUGCCUCUUAGCGGGGGAUAACUAUUGGAAACGAUAGCUAAUACCGCAUAAAAGUCGAUAUCGCAUGAUAUUGAUUUGAAAGGUGCAAUUGCAUCACUAAGAGAUGGACCUGCGUUGUAUUAGCUAGUUGGUGAGGUAACGGCUCACCAAGGCGACGAUACAUAGCCGACCUGAGAGGGUGAUCGGCCACACUGGGACUGAGACACGGCCCAGACUCCUACGGGAGGCAGCAGUAGGGAAUCUUCGGCAAUGGGGGCAACCCUGACCGAGCAACGCCGCGUGAGUGAAGAAGGUUUUCGGAUCGUAAAGCUCUGUUGUAAGAGAAGAACGAGUGUGAGAGUGGAAAGUUCACACUGUGACGGUAACUUACCAGAAAGGGACGGCUAACUACGUG
rnacentral:rRNA from 1 species